rnacentral:rRNA from 1 species
CCUCGCUGUUUGCAAUGUUUGUGCUUCUUGGGUGUACUUUUUCGUAUGGUAGGCCAACGUCAGUUUCGAUUGCCGUAAAAUGAUCGGAGGAAUGUAGCUUCGAUCUCGUAUUGAAGUGUUAUAGUCUCUGGUAGAUGCAGUAAUCGAAACUGAGGAUUGCAACGAAUACCCUUUGGGCUAUCCGUCUGACCUCUGAAAGUUGCUUAGGUGCUGAAAGCGUGCUUACGGCUAUUUAAGUUGACGGUCAACAGGUUAGAACGUGAUUACA